UCCCGUACCUGUUUGCAGGUAUGCAAGCAUUCAUAGUUUUUAAACAGACUAAGCUCUACUUUUUGGUUCUCAUGACGCUGCUUUGUACUGUGCUGCGCUGUGCAGGCGCAGGAAGCUUCUUUGAUGCCGC
rnacentral:lncRNA from 1 species